GACGAACGCUGGCGGCGUGCCUAAUACAUGCAAGUCGAGCGGACGGAUGGGAGCUUGCUCCCAGACCGUCAGCGGCGGACGGGUGAGUAACACGUGGGCAACCUGCCUGUAAGACUGGGAUAACUCCGGGAAACCGGGGCUAAUACCGGAUAACUCUUUCCCUCACAUGAGGGAAAGCUGAAAGAUGGCAUCUCGCUAUCACUUACAGAUGGGCCCGCGGCGCAUUAGCUAGUUGGUGAGGUAACGGCUCACCAAGGCGACGAUGCGUAGCCGACCUGAGAGGGUGAUCGGCCACACUGGGACUGAGACACGGCCCAGACUCCUACGGGAGGCAGCAGUAGGGAAUCUUCCGUAAUGGACGAAAGUCUGACGGAGCAACGCCGCGUGAGUGAUGAAGGUUUUCGGAUCGUAAAACUCUGUUGUCAGGGAAGAACAAGUACCGGAGUAACUGCCGGUACCUUGACGGUACCUGACCAGAAAGCCACGGCUAACUACGUG
rnacentral:rRNA from 1 species